rnacentral:rRNA from 1 species
GAAUAUUGGACAAUGGGCGGAAGCCUGAUCCAGCAACGCCGCGUGAGGGAUGACGGCCUUCGGGUUGUAAACCUCUUUCGCUCAGGACGAAGCGCAAGUGACGGUACUGAGUAAAGAAGGACCGGCCAACUACGUGCCAGCAGCCGCGGUAAUACGUAGGGUCCGAGCGUUGUCCGGAAUUAUUGGGCGUAAAGGGCUCGUAGGCGGUUUGUCGCGUCGGGAGUGAAAUCCAUCAGCUUAACUGAUGGCUUGCUUUCGAUACGGGCAGACUAGAGGUAUGCAGGGGAGAAUGGAAUUCCUGGUGUAGCGGUGAAAUGCGCAGAUAUCAGGAGGAACACCGGUGGCGAAGGCGGUUCUCUGGGCAUUACCUGACGCUGAGGAGCGAAAGUGUGGGGAGCGAACAG